AUUGAACGCUGGCGGCAUGCCUUACACAUGCAAGUCGAACGGUAACGGGCCUUCGGGUGCCGACGAGUGGCGAACGGGUGAGUAAUACAUCGGAACGUGCCCGAUCGUGGGGGAUAACGAGGCGAAAGCUUUGCUAAUACCGCAUACGAUCUACGGAUGACAGCAGGGGACCGCAAGGCCUUGCGCGGACGGAGCGGCCGAUGGCAGAUUAGGUAGUUGGUGGGAUAAAAGCUUACCAAGCCGACGAUCUGUAGCUGGUCUGAGAGGAUGAUCAGCCACACUGGGACUGAGACACGGCCCAGACUCCUACGGGAGGCAGCAGUGGGGAAUUUUGGACAAUGGGCGCAAGCCUGAUCCAGCCAUGCCGCGUGCAGGAUGAAGGCCUUCGGGUUGUAAACUGCUUUUGUACGGAACGAAAAGCCUUCUUUUAAUACGGGAGGGUCAUGACGGUACCGUAAGAAUAAGCACCGGCUAACUACGUG
rnacentral:rRNA from 1 species